AGCACACAACCACAUCCUUAACAUCUGUUUCCGACGGUUGUUAAUAAUAUGGGUGUUGUCGUAAGUUGAAUUUACGAAUUACAUUCACAAUUAGGAUCAUAAUCCAAACCUCUGUGUGAUACUAGUGCAAUUACCAAGUUUGCGUAGUUCUGUACUUUGCAGCUACAACGAAUGAGCUAGUCGACAAGUUCAACGCCGCAUAUGAUAGGCACAGUCGAAGAGGUGGACGGACUGCUUAUUUCUGAAAGUUUCUUUGACAACUUUUUGGGUGCUGCUGGUUUCAUUUGACUGCAUAGAGGCGUAGAAAUUGAAAUCUUAAUGAGACCUAGACCAUACGGAAUGAAAUAUAAAUUUCAGUCUCCCCAACUGUCAAUGCCCAUUAUUGUUCCGUUUUAGGUUGUAGUUUUUGAAAAGUAAUAUAUUAACCGUUUGAUAAUCA